UUUGGAGAGUUUGAUCCUGGCUCAGGAUGAACGCUGGCGGCACGCCUAACACAUGCAAGUCGAACGAUAUUUUUUAGAUUCCAAUCUCGAGGCUCGUAAGAGUAUCAAGAUACGGAGUCCGAAAUUUAUAGUGGCGGACGGGUGAGUAACACGUUGGAACCUGCCCCGAAGAGGGGGAUAACUACCCGAAAGGGUGGCUAAUACCCCAUAUACUCCGAUUUAUUCGGAGGAAAGCUUUUGCGCUUCGGGAGGGGCCUGCGUAACAUUAGCUUGUUGGUGAGGUAAAAGCUCACCAAGGCGACGAUGUUUAGCUGGUUUGAGAGGAUGAUCAGCCACACUGGGACUGAGAUACGGCCCAGACUCCUACGGGAGGCAGCAGUGAGGAAUAUUCCACAAUGGGGGAAACCCUGAUGGAGCGAUGCCGCGUGCAGGAAGACGCUUUUCGGAGUGUAAACUGCUUUUAAUAGGGAAGAUUAUGACGGUACCUAUAGAAUAAGGACCGGCUAACUACGUGCCAGCAGCCGCGGUAAUACGUAGGGUCCAAGCGUUAUUCGGAAUUACUGGGCGUAAAGCGUUCGUAGGCGGUUUUGUAAGUUGGAUGUGAAAUCCUGUGGCUCAACCACAUGGACUGUGUCCAAAACUACAAGACUAGAGCAUAGUAGAGGCAAGUGGAAUUUGCAGUGUAGGAGUGACAUCCGUAGAUAUUGCAAGGAACACCAAUGGCGAAGGCAGCUUGCUGGGCUAUUGCUGACGCUCAGGAACGAAAGCGUGGGGAGCGAACGGGAUUAGAUACCCCGGUAGUCCACGCCGUAAACGAUGAUCACUAACAGUAUGGAGAUUCGACCCUCUGUGUUGUACAGCUAACGCGUUAAGUGAUCCGCCUGGGGAGUACGGGCGCAAGCUUAAAACUCAAAGGAAUUGACGGGGACCCGCACAAGCAGUGGAGGAUGUGGUUUAAUUCGACGCUAAGCGAAGAACCUUACCGAGGUUUGACAUCCCAGGAAUUUUUGGGAAACCAAUUAGUGCCUUCGGGAACCUGGUGACAGGUGCUGCAUGGCCGUCGUCAGCUCGUGUCGUGAGAUGUUGGGUUAAGUCCCGCAACGAGCGCAACCCUCGUCUUAAGUUAGUAUGUCUUAAGAGACCGCCUGGGUUAACCAGGAGGAAGGUGGGGAUGACGUCUGGUCAGCAUGGCCCUUACACCUCGGGCUACACACGUCCUACAAUGGCCGUUACAACGCGCUAGCCAAGCCGUAAGGCGGAGCGAAUCGCAUCAAAAGCGGCCUCAGUUCGGAUUGAGGGCUGAAACUCGCCCUCAUGAAGCCGGAAUUGCUAGUAAUGGCGAAUCAGAAUGUUGCCGUGAAUACGUUCUCGGGUCUUGUACACACCGCCCGUCAAGUCACGGGAGUUGGGAGCACCCGAAGUGAUCAAUAUUGAUCCCUAAGGUGAGACCAGCGACUGGGGCUAAGUCGUAACAAGGUAUCCGUACCGGAAGGUGCGGAUGGAUCACCUCCUUU
rnacentral:rRNA from 1 species